rnacentral:lncRNA from 1 species
AAGCUGUGCGCCGGGAAUGAGGUCGAUCUGGUGCUCAAUGCCACGAAGUGGUGGAAGUCCCGAUGGCAAAUCUUUUGGAAAGACAUCAGCGUACUCCUGCAAAAUGUUAGCAACCGCAGGGGGAAUAUCCAAAGAUGGUGCAUCAUCAAGUGAAACGAGCACACUAGAGCAUAUAAGGGCAUAGCAUAGCAAAGGGGCAUCGCGUAACUCAUCAAAAUCAGCACGUGUGGCAAGCAAAACAGGAGCAUUCAACUUGAUUUCAGAAUUAAUAGAUGUCGAUGGUUCAAGUUGUUUAGCAGUUUUAGCAGCUCUAGCAAGAUCAUCUU